CUUUUUGCGGCUUCCUCAUUGAAAUAAAUCAAGAAUCCACGGUCUGUUGCCACAGCGACUCUGAAAAUUUCAACGAUUUCGUGAUCAUCAUCUAUUGCGCAAGCGACUCGCGACAGCUUCCCAGAUUUUUCUCUGUCUCACUGAUCAAUUUCUAUAAUCAGACCCAAGAUUCUCCAAGAACUCGCUACAAUGACUGAGAAAAUGACCUCCAAUGUUCCAGUGAUCGAUGCGAAUCAUCCUCUCUUCUUACAUCCAUCCGACACCCAAGCGACCACUCUGGUUUCUCAAGUACUUACUGGUUCCAAUAAUUAUAUCAUUUGGAACCAUGCUAUGCUUCUGGCCUUACAAGGUAAAAACAAACUGGGUUUCAUUGAAGGCACCUAUAUCCGUGUUGAUGAACCGCAUCAUAAGGAAUAGUGGGACCGUUGCAAUACAGUGGUUCUUUCUUGGCUCAUCAAUUCCGUUGACAAGGAGAUAGCUAAUGGGAUAGUGUUUGCUGACAAUGCACACACGGUUUGGGCUGAUCUCAAAGAGAGAUUUCACAAAGUCGAUGGUGCCAAGAUUUAUUCCCUACUGAAAGCCAUUUCUUCUAUAACCCAAGGGACUCUCACAGUAUCUGCAUAUUACACCAAAGUUAAGGAAUUGUGGGAUGAGUAUGCAUUGUUGGUACCUUUGCUUACCCGCAAAUGUGAAACCUCCCAGGAAUAUAUUAGGAUAGUGCAGCGGCAAUGCCUUUUUCAAUUCCUGAUGGGAUUAAAUGAUUGCUUUCAACAAGCUCGAUCGCAAAUUCUACUCAUGUCUCCAUUGCUGAAUGUUAAUCAAGCAUAUGCUAUGAUCUCCCAAGAUGAAGAUCAGCGACUCAUAUGCUCACAUCAGUCCUAUAGUCCAUUUGAGGCAGCUGCUACUACAACUAGAGGGGGAAGAUUAGGCAGAGUACGUGGUAGAGGAAGAUCACAGGAUGAGUGUAGUCAUUGCCAUCGCCGAGGCCACAAGGAAGAGCAGUAUUUUGAAUUAGUUGGGUAUCCUCCUAACUUCUAACUUCAAAGGUCGAAGAGUUUCCACCCCUCAACUGAACCAAGCAGUAGCAGAACAAAAAUCUCAUUCAUCUGCAUCUUCAAAUAGCGUAGGCACCCAGGCCUCCAUUACUCAACAACAAUACAAUAAGAUCUUGCAGCUGCUGAAAAGUGACGCUAAUGAAGAAAUAAUCGGCACAUUUGACUAAAGUGAGAGCACAUUUCUAGAGAUUUUAACUGGAAAGUCUCAGGUGAUUGGUAGAAUUUGUAGUGGACUAUAUUUGCUGGCAAAAUUUUAAACUUGGACAAUGCUCUUGUGAAUUUUCAAUCCAAUGACACAAAGGAGAUAUCUCAACCAUGGCACUAUAGAUUAGGACAUGCACCCGUAGAGGUUCUCAAGCAUUUAGAUAUGAUAAAGAAAGACAACAUAGAUUUGUCUAGUCCCAAAUGUGAUGUUUGUCCUCUUGCUAAACAAGCGAGACUUCCUUUCUCUCAUUUUGUUUCUUUUACUUGUUGUUUUGAACUGAUACAUGUUGAUAUUUGGGGUCUCUGCAAGGAACCUAUAUAUAGAGGACAUGGAUACUUUCUUACUAUUGUUGAUGACUUCUUUAAAUGUACUUGAACUUUCUUGAUGAUCAAUAAAAGCGAUAGUUUUCAGUUGCUGUUAAA